GUGGUCAUCAGUUGUUGAAAAUAUGAAAUAUUCAUGUUGGUUUUACUAGUUCUACGAUGUGUGUGCCAUUCCACAUCUGAGCACUGUAAAGUCUGGCAGCAAAAUAAAGAUAUAUUCAAAUGGAUCUUGUGCUGUGUCUCCCAUCUGACAUCAUACUAGAAAAGGGUCAUGUAAACGUAACAAAAAGUCAUGCGAAUGGACAUCAAAAUGUUGACACAGAUCGGUAUUUGAGACUUAAAUCUUCAGGAUAUAACUUCAUAAAACUGGCGGAUAAAUCAAACUGCGAAGUUCUUUCGAAUGGCGAGUAAAACAGUUGUGUCUCUUCGUAGGAACGAUGAUACAAUAUUUACGUAUGCAUUCAAAUGAUGCUGUUCAAGGUAACAAGAAGAAGUUAACAUUUGGCAGUGUGAGAAAGGAAAUUUUCUUCUGCAUGACGGGAAAAUGAUGUUUGCAUGCAUAUUUUAUCGGAGGCAGCUGCAAAACCACCAAUAGGAAACUCUUUUUGAAAUUAUGUUGUGAUAGACUGUUUGACUGUUUUCGGCCCGCUUUGGCGAGACGAUAUAACGAUAGUUUUAUACGAAAAUCUGCGAUAAAGUCCGGAAAUCUCGCUUGUGGAGAGAAGAAACUUGAU